rnacentral:rRNA from 1 species
CAUGUAGGCGGUUUUUUAAGUCUGGAGUGAAAAUGCGGGGCUCAACCCCGUAUGGCUCUGGAUACUGGAAGACUUGAGUGCAGGAGAGGAAAGGGGAAUUCCCAGUGUAGCGGUGAAAUGCGUAGAUAUUGGGAGGAACACCAGUGGCGAAGGCGCCUUCUGGACUGUGUCUGACGCUGAGAUGCGAAAGCCAGGGUAGCGAACG